rnacentral:rRNA from 1 species
CCUACGGGAGGCAGCAGUGAGGAAUAUUGGUCAAUGGACGCAAGUCUGAACCAGCCAUGUCGCGUGCAGGAAGACGGCUCUAUGAGUUGUAAACUGCUUUUGUACGCGGGUAAAUCCCCAUUCGUGUAUCGGGUUUAAACUAUCGUACGAAUAAGGAUCGGCUAACUCCGUGCCAGCAGCCGCGGUAAUACGGAGGAUUCAAGCGUUAUCCGGAUUUAGUUGGUUUAAAGGGUGCGUAGGCGGUACGAUAAGUUAGAGGAGAAAUCCCGGGGCUCAAAUCCGGCACUGCCUCUGAUACUGUCGGGCUAGAGUGUAGUUGCGGUAGGCGGAAUGUAUGGUGUAGCGGUGAAAUGCAUAGAGAUCAUACAGAACACCGGUUGCGAAGGCAGCUUACCAAACUACGACUGACGUUGAGGCACGAAAGCGUGGGGAGCAAACAGGAUUAGAUACCCCUGUAGUC